GGGGUGGAACCUGGCUGCACCUCUCUUAGACCACAUUUAAGAGCUGACUGCCACUGAGGAAGGGUCUCUGGUUGGAGAUUCUUCCCUUGUGGAGUCUUUCCUGUAAGCCUAGAUUCUCAGAGAAAUUGUAUAGCCUGUAAUCCCAGUGGCUGAAGUGGAGACAUAAAUGAAGCUGUCUUACAAAGAGCAAAGUUGUGACGGAAAACGUGUAUGAAAUGGACUGAGCUUCAAGUACCAAAAACUGGAAAAUGCAGGGCAGAAGAAGCUACAGCAGAACAUAGCUGCAUGGACAAAACAGAUAUGAGUGCCUUUCCCAUCCAAGGCCUAUACACUAAAUCAUCACUUGCAGAAGACUUGUAAAUCUUCAUGGAAAGAAUGUGACUAAGCACGUUUACUUAAAAAAUAUAUAUAUUGGUAAAUCUACGUUUUCAAUGUAUCCUAUUUUUACUCCUGAAUUCCAGCAUUGCAGAGCAGACCCAUUCCUCAUUACUGCUGAUGGCAAUUGUACAAUAGUUAUAAUUUCCCAUUUCACUCCACAGCAAAUCAUAUACAUAUUAUUCAAAGCCUUUGUAGUCCAUGUUUUCAAAACCUGAAAUCUCCAUCUCAUCUCCUCUUGAAAGAUAAACAAGUAAGAUGGAAAAAAUUUUGAUAAUGGUUGUCUGAGGGUCUUAACUGGCUUUUAUUAAAUAUUUGUUCAACUUAAAUGUCCACUGAGUAAUUGGAAAAAGAUUGUCAUCAUUAAAAUAUCAAUGCUGUAACUUUUGAAUUAGUGAAACCUCUCUGCAUAAAAUUCUAGACACUACUUAGGAUACAGUGCUUCCCAGCCAGCUCUCACACAGCUCAACAACUUUCCUCUACGCAAACCUUAACUUAAAAUGAAAGACUAGAUGCCACUCUCCUCAUCUUGACUCUUAAGAAUUUCACCAUCAAAAUCUGAUUAACAUGAAAAAAAGUAAUAAAGGUAGGAAAAAAAACUGUAGACAUUUAUCAGUACCCUGAGUGCAGCCUCAUGGGAUUUGGCUGCAAGGGAUUUGGCUUUCUAUGCUUUAGUUAGCACAGAAUACAGUGCAGCUGCACAAGCUGCAUUUGAGCUGCUGAGAGCAGUGUGAGAAAAUGGCUGGAAGAAGGGGGGUGGCUUCUCCUCCGUGUCAGAAGCUGCAUUCAAACCAGUGUCCUUGCUCUUAGAUCAGUAUCCCUGUCAAGGAUCCUAUGCCUGACAAUGUAUCAUUUAUUCAAAUUUGUUGCAACCCACUGACUUGACUUGGACAAGUCCAGCUAGGACUUGGACCUGUCUCAACACCACAGAUUUGUCUGUCAAUCCCUGAACUGAUGGUUGGCUCUCAUAAUAAUCACCAGACUUCUCUGCUCUUCUUUGGGUACUGUGGGACUGCCCCUUUGUCAGUGCUGUUGAGGUUACACACAUACUUUUGGUCACCCUUGGCUCUUGCUCCCCUACUCUAGAUAGAGGAUCCUGAUUCUACUGCUUCCCGAAAACCUCUUUCUGUGUCAAGAAAUCCAGGCUUAAUGCACAUACAAAUGAGAGAAAAAAAUAGAAGACAAAUCGAAAAUGAUAAAAGUCUUUUGCAAGUCACCUUUGGCACUUCUUUUUGACAGAAAACAACUGGAGUAUUUAUUGCCAGGCUAAAACCUGUGAAAAUACAGCUCAAAAUGGAAGCAUUGACCCUUGCCUACUGAAGUGCUAGUGAAUGCCACCCCAGACAAAGUAUCUGUAAGCUGCUUGAAAUUAAAAAAAUAAUAAUAAUAAAUAGUAAUUGAAAAACAAACAAAAAAUACCCCAACAUCCUCAUAGUUUCAACCCUCUAAGUGCCAGUCCUCUGAACUGGUUAAUAUUAUCGAGGGAACCCUUGCCUGAAAGAAAGUAAUUUAGCAUCCAUUAAAUAUGAUUACUUGGCCUUGGAAAUGAUGGAUAUUGAACAGAAUUAUAAGAUCACUUUAUAAAAUAAAGGUCUCUUUUACAUCCCUUCUUGUGGGGCAUUAAAUAAAGUCUGAGAAAACUCCUAAGGGAUUCCUGGCAUUUAUAGGUUACAUUUAUGAAAAGGAGGAUUGAUAUUCAUAUUAAAAACUCUAAAAAUUGAAUAGGGAGAUGUAGCAAGCAUGUGGACAGCUGUGACAUGUCUAAAAAGUGAGUGACGUUCACCAACUGUUUUCCUUGCUUCGAUUAUAUUGGAGAUAUGAAAAGUGCCUUUAAUUUCAAACUAAUCUUUCAUGCUCUAUACUGGAAUAUUAAUCCCAAGUGAUUUCCUAAGUUCUCUGUAUUUCUCACUGUAUCAUCAUUAGUAACUGAAGCCAGAGGUUUUCAAAAUCUCAGGUCGCUGUUUUCAUCAUACUAUCCAUAUUUGAAGGUGAACUUGUCUAAAGGCAUGAUAUGCUUAAGCCACUUUAACUGAAACCUAAGCAUGAGACAACUAUAUUUUAGGCAGAGGGAAAGUUUAACUUUUUCAUUUCUAAAGGAUCUAUCCUGAAGCUCAAACAUACAGUGGAAAUCCAUCACUUUCUCCCACUUCUAUUUCUGAUCAAAACUGAUAAACUGAAUUCAGACUAACAUUUAUUUUUAUUCAUUUUCCUAAGGUGAGUGUGGGCUGGCUAAUUUAUUCUAUAGAGACAACUACACCUACACACACGUACACAAGGGUUUAAACGAAAGUUUCACCUGAUUAAAAGCACAGAUGUGAGCUGAGAUUUUCCACAUUUCCAAUCAGUGCCCAAGCUAUUUAUUUGUUCAGGUUAUACAAUUCUAGUGAACCAGAAUUUUCUGCUAAAAAGCUGAUUUCCUUAAGCAGCCUAUGACCUGUUCCCCUAAUGUGACCUUUUCACUAGUUUUGGUAGCUUCCUAACAUAUAAGAAAAUUAAGAAUAAGGGCCUUAUAUUAUGAACUUGAAAUACACUAAAAGAUUUCCUGAUAGUUAUCAUUAUAAUUUUAUAAUCGUUAGCAUGCAAACUAAUGCAAUACGAAUUACAUAAACUCUUCAUAUUUUAAUGGACUCUAUGACUCUAUAUCUGGAAAUAGUAACAGAUAAUGUUUCUUUUUACCUGAUUAUUCUUUUCAGCAAGUAAAUUAAUUUUCUUGGAGAUAAUACCUGAAAAGUUCUGCCAGCUAAGUGUAAAAGACAUGUAGAAGGAAAAAAGAAGUGGUCAUAAAGGAAGGAAUGCUAAGGAACCCUUGAUUUGUCUACUAUGUUUUAACAUUUAUUAACCUUGUUGCAAUGUAUGGAAAUGCAUAUAAACUAUCUUUCUAAUUAUGCAUAAUACAACUAUUCCUUAGACAGAGAUCUUGGGUAGCAAGACUAUGGCAGAAGUGCUUUUUUUUGGUUGUGAAAUAAACUCUGGCAAACGAGCUUAUAAUGGAAGAGCUGACACAACUCUCAUACUUCAAGUGCAAAGGGUAUGACUGAAUUUAAAAACAAUUGAAUCUCAUCCAUUAACUCUCUUGUCACAUGCUGGUCGUACUACAGGAAAGCAGUUAACAACGCAUGCAAAUAAAAUAAACCAGGAUUAACUGAUGCUGUUUGCCCUAUGUAUUUCACAAACAUGAAGAUUAAAAUAUGAAGUUCCCAGUCUUUAUAAAUGUUGCCAACUAUGAUGCUGAAGCAGUCAAGCAAGUUAUGUGGCAGUACACGUUUUCUCUCACAUCCCUCCUCUCUCAGUUCUUGCAAUGAACCUGCUGAAAAUCCGCAACAACAACAAAUAAUCAUCUCUUUUUUUUUUAACUUUCUUAAGCAGUGUCAUUUUCAAAAUGCUUGUAGAUGACAUAAAGAAAAUAUUAAAGACCUGUUGUUCUUUACUGUGAUUAAUAUACACGCUGGAAAAGUUUCCGAAGUUGUAUUGUGAUGUUAAAGCAAAGAUGCUAAAAACAGAAAUGAAGACAUGGUUCAGCACACAUUGAACAGAACUGAGAGAAACCCUAUGGUCUUCUCAGAUAGCAACAUAGGGACUGCAGGACUGCAGUGAACAGCAGUAAAUCUGUUCUGAAUUGGCCACCAUCUCUGACUAUCACUGAUUAGUAGGUAGCUAUAGUGGUAUGUUCUCGGUUAAUCAUUCAUUCCUCUCAAAAAUUAGAUAUUUUCUGCUACUGUGUGAGUGCUUUGUACCUAACUCAUAAACCAGAAAGAUUUCUUUGUGGUUAUUAGGUUCUCAAAAAGUAAUGGGAUAAAAUGAACUAUUUUCCUUUCACUCUUCUUUUGGUUUGAUGUUUUGGUUUCUAAUCUUUCUAUACAUUGCACUGGUCUCUUGCCAGUUGACUUGCAGUUGUUUGGAUUGUCUGCUUUGUUCAUUAUCUGUACCUGUACAAUUAAUAAACUCUGAUUAGUUUUCUGAAAUUAUUGAUUUGUUACUAAAGAAAAGAGAAUGGUUUUAUAACAAAUGCCACAUGUAGAUUUGGACUUUGUCAAUGGACCACAAAAUUAUUUUGUGAUUUUGCAGGACCAAAGCCUGACAGUUUCUGGUGACAUGGUUUCAGCUUUUGACUAUUUUGACUACAGACUUACAGAAACAAGGCUUUGAAUGAAGUUACCAAACAGACCCCAGGAAGAUGUUUAUAAUAUUUUUUUGCUUUCUUAGUAAGUGAUAAAGCUAAGUCAGAAUCAAAAAUUUAGAUAUUAUACAUAGCAUAUGCAACAAUCUUAAUUUUUUCACUUCUAGAUCAUCAAAAGAUUUCUUUUAAAUGGAAACAAACAUAGCUACAGGAAGGAAGUGAAGAGAAAGGAAACUUUCUAUGGAGUAUGUCAAUUUGUAGAUUAGUUAAUACAUUGAUUCCAUUUGAGAGCCUGCAUGUACCUGUCUUCCCACUGAGAUAUCCACUAUGCAAUCAGUGAUAAUUUGAAAAUCAAUUGCUCUUUUGUAGUAAUUAAAUUUGUCCAUUUAAACAGAUAUAAUUGAUAGAGCCUACAAUUCAUUUCAAAGCAAUGAUGCUUAAGGAAUCCUAGAGAUAAGGGAUGUGAGCUAGCAAACUGGGAAGUUUUACCCAACAAAUGACCAUCCAAAUUAACAGUUUUAUAUUGGUUUUAAAUAUAACAUAGUAGAUAUGAAAUUUGAAUUGAAAUAUACUGCUAGAUAAAGUAAAAUAUAUUUUUAGACAUGGCAAAAAAAGCUGAUGGAAGUGACUGUAUUUAGACAAAAUUUUAUCAAAGAAUUCCGCUUACAUAUUACAUAACUAAAUUGUUUUUUUAAAAUUUCAUCAUACUCUUUUAAAACUGAUAUUUUGAUAUGAUGCUCUAGCUGUUUACAAGUCUGGAUAAAUAAAGUUUACUUUUCUUGAAAAUGUAAUUAAAAUUUGCCUUUUUUUAGUGUACAAAGAAUUUUUAGAGCUUUUGCCAUACACACUGCUUAAUCAAAUACAAUAUGAUACUUGCAUGUGUAGAAUACAUAUUUCCAUAUUUCUGAGAUUCAUUAAACAACUAUUUCCCCUCAAGGCAAUUCAUUGUUAUGCACUAGAGGACUCUAAGAUGGACU